rnacentral:tRNA from 1 species
AGGGGUAUAGCUCAGCUGGUCAGAGCGCUGGUCUCCAAAACCAGAUGUCGUAGGUUCGAAUCCUGCUACCCCUG